UACAGAGGGUGCGAGCGUUGUUCGGAAUUAUUGGGCGUAAAGGGCGCGUAGGCGGUGCGGUAAGUCACCUGUGAAAUCUCCUGGCUCAACUGGGAGCUUGCAGGCGAAACUGCCGUGCUGGAGUGUGGGAGAGGGAUGUAGAAUUCCAGGUGUAGCGGUGAAAUGCGUAGAUAUCUGGAGGAAUACCGGUGGCGAAGGCGGCAUCCUGGACCAUUACUGACGCUGAGGCGCGAAAGCUAGGGGAGCAAACGGG
rnacentral:rRNA from 1 species